rnacentral:rRNA from 1 species
AGGACGAACGCUGGCGGCGUGCUUAACACAUGCAAGUCGAGCGGAAAGGCCUUUCGGGGUACUCGAGCGGCGAACGGGUGAGUAACACGUGAGUAAUCUGCCCAUCGCUUCAGGAUAGCCAUCGGAAACGGUGAUUAAUACUGGAUAUGACAUUCCUUCGCAUGUUGGGGUGUGGAAAGUUUUUUCGGCGGUGGAUGUGCUCGCGGCCUAUCAGCUUGUUGGUGGGGUAAUGGCCUACCAAGGCUUUGACGGGUAGCCGGCCUGAGAGGGUGACCGGCC